GCCAGGCGUGGUGGUGCACACCUGUAGUCCCAGCUACUCGGGAGGCUGAGACAGGAGAAUUGCUUGAACCCAGGAGGCAGAGGUUGCAGUGAGCCAAGAUGGCGCCGUUGCACUCCAGCCUGGGUGACACAGCAAGACUCUGUCUCAA
rnacentral:SRP_RNA from 1 species